UACGGAGGGUGCGAGCGGUGUCCGGAAUCACUGGGCGUAAAGGGCGCGUAGGUGGCUUGGCAAGCGUGUGGUGAAAGCCCGGGGCUCAACCCCGGGUCUGCCGUGCGAACUGCCAUGGCUAGAGGACUGUAGAGGCAGGUUGAAUUUCGGGUGUAGCGGUGGAAUGCGUAGAGAUCCGGAAGAAUAACGGUGGCGAAGUCGGCCUGCUGGGCAGUUACUGACACUGAGGCGCGACAGCGUGGGGAGCAACUAGG
rnacentral:rRNA from 1 species